GGAGUUCAGAAGACUUUGAGUGCACGCCAAGGGAAAGGUGAAUCAGUUGAUGUAGGUGAAUUUUCUUGAAAUGAAAGUGUGGCUUCUUAAAUACCAAGCUUAUAUGGAAGUCUAGGGAAAUCAUUUUGAUUUGCUUCUCUUAUGGAAUAACGCUUCCAUUUUUCAUUCUAGGCAAUAAAGAUUCAGAACAUGCUGAAAUUGAAUGAAACAUAUAUUCAAUUGAAGAACUGUGAUACAAUGGAAUAUUUGUGAUUGCAAAAACGUCAAACUGGAGACGAGUAAGGCAUUCUCCUCUUAUGUGCAGAACCCUCUGUCCCCUCUUUUGCAAUCUGUCUUGUCCCCUGGUAUAUCAUUGUCCGUGUGAUGGUGCCUUGAGGAGCAUCCGAG
rnacentral:lncRNA from 1 species